AUGUUGUAUGAAAGGAGAGAAGGUUAGCACUCCCCUUGACAAGGAUGGAAGAGGCCCUCCGGGCUGACAAUGUGCAUACAUUUAAGACAAUGCCACCUACUUUGUGAUGGCACAAAAUGAUCUGA
rnacentral:ncRNA from 1 species